UCUCGCCCCUUAACGCUGCACAUAGUUUAUUACAUAACUACAACAAAGCCUACUUUGGUAAAAAAAAAGAGAAUUGCAAGAUGUUAAUGAACGGCUUGAACAUUAAGCUGGCAUACUGCAGAGGUUACGAUCACGUAAAAAUAUUGAAGAUUCCCAAAGAAACUAUAACGAAGAACUGAAUUAGUUUAAUGAUGCACUUAUGUUUUUGUAUACAUUAUUUUACACUAAUUAUUAACUUUUAGUAAUGGUGUUCUUGAACUAACUAGGCAGUGAUUCAGGUAAUGAAGCGACAGCAGUGAGUUAAUAAAGGACAGAAAGUUCGCAAACAACCAAACCGUGAUAAUGUACCCCGAACAGAAUCUACAAAGACCGAGAAAUGGAGGGUGCAUUGCAGUCAAAAUAUGGUAUUCAGAUGAAUAUAAAUAAAUCGGCUUCAACAAAGAGCUAUAGAGGGAAAAGAAAACACCAGCAAACCUUUAAGUAGCAAGACAGAAGGCCCAGCAGGAUUUUGUCUCCUGAUACUUUGUCAACAUUAUAUUCUGUCUGCUCCUAGCCAGGCAUAAGAGCAUCUACCCAUUGUUGAAGAAACUGGAGGGAAUAGAAAACCCACUGGAAGAAGGAUGGAGAAUUUCAGAUGCCUCAGAAUCUUGAAAGCUUUCUUUUAAGGAGGGCAUCAAAACUGUGUUGGGUACUAAUGAUUAAUGGGAUUAAUGUGGACAAGAUAAAAUAUAUGAUUGUUGAUUUCAGUUUGGGCAAUUUGGAUGUCACCAAAACAACAAAAUGGAGAAACCUUCAAAACACUGUAGUCCUGAGUUUCUACUCUAGUUACUUCAUCAAUAUUUAACUUCCAAGCCCAUUGAACUAUGCCUUGCAAGCACACUAAUUAAGUAGAGGAGUUCACUGGAAUACUAGACACCUACAGGAAUGGAAACUGGAAGCUCCAGUACUGCCCAGGAUGGUCCCAGAGAGUAUUAAAAGACCACCCCCUUCGUAUUAUGACCCUUUUGAGUAAUGUGAAAUAGGCCACAUAUUUGAUCUUUUAAAAAAGAAAAGGAAGUCUCCUUGAGAAAUGUCUCUAUGGAAAAUAAAACUGCAGUCCUGUAGCAUAAAGAAUAGAAGUCACAUAUUUGUUCAUUAUUUUAAUAACAAAAUGAGCCAAAAUUGCUGGUCUCAAAGUAAUUUGUAAGAAUUGCUCCUCCUGGAUUAUCAAGCACCACCUACAAAUUCUCCUUGUCUCUAUAAUGGUUUAUGUUUAGGGAGUCUUUUUCAUUCCACUUCUUGAAUAUGCACAUGUUAAGCUAAUUGACAAUUCCAAUAUGGCCUUGUAUGAUUACGUGUAGAAGUAUGUGCGAUUGUGCUAUGUGAUAUGUUAGAUCCCUGUUAUGUGUUCAGUGCUGUCAGGAUAGACUAUGGGUCCCUGCAACCUGAAUUGAAUUAAUAAGGUCAGAAAAUGAAUUGAUUGAUGAUCUAGUAAUGUUGUGAGUAACACUGAAGUAAUAACAAAAUAGUCUUGGCUUCUCUUGGCAUGUUCAUGCACUGCACUUGUGUAUUUUUCUCUUGCUUUUUUCUUCCAUUAAUAUUCUUCAUUUACUGUGGUAUACUUAGGCAUUUUAAACUAUUCCCUUCAAAUCUGUCACUUUAUUUGUUCUAAACGUGAUCUGUUAAAAUUAUUAAAAGAA